rnacentral:rRNA from 1 species
GGUCAUGGCUCAGGAUGAACGCUAGCUACAGGCUUAACACAUGCAAGUCGAGGGGCAGCAUGAAAGGAACUUCGGUUCUUUUUGAUGGCGACCGGCGCACGGGUGCGUAACGCGUAUCGAACCUGCCUCAUACUCGGGGAUAGCCUUGCGAAAGUAAGAUUAAUACCCGGCGGUCUCGGACGGCCGCAUGACAGUCCGAGUGAAGAUUUAUCGGUAUGAGAUGGCGAUGCGUCCCAUUAG